UUGUUGGGCAAGAGACUCAUGUUUGUUGGCCAAGAACUUUGCCUAUCCUCGUUUGAAAAAAUCUUAUAUGUAGUAUUGUAUUAAUUAAAUUUGCCUUUUGUAGUAGAUAUUGUAUUGUAUUAAAUUUGCUUAUGUUAGUGGAGAUUGUAUAAAUUUCGUAAAGUUUGCUGGCUGCUUGCAAUUCUAGUAACUUUAAAAGUAUUGUAUAAAGUUGUAAUAUUUUAGUAAGUUUGCUAUAAUUCUACAUUCAAUCUAACUAAGUUCAUAGUAUUGUACACUCAACCAAACUCAAAGCACAAAACUUUAUCCCUCGAGGUUCUAGUAUUUUAGUGAUUAAGAAAUACAUCUUGGAUUUAGAAAUUUUUGAUAAAUUCAUUUAUUUUAAAAUCAAACAAGUAAAUUUCAGAAUCAAAGAUACAUAUUUCAAAAUCAAAAUAAGUUGAUUAUUAUAAAUCGGUCAAAUGGAUAUACAAUAAGUUCAAAUUUGUAACAAAAUAAAAAUAUAAAAAAAUGCAAAAUGUACUUUUUAUUAUGCUUUUAGUUUGGAUUUUGAAGUGUUUGCACUUAUGUAAUUUUUCUUAAUAUGUAAUAGAGAUUAUAUAAAAAUUAUGAUGGACACAUAUGAAAGUGGAAAAUACUAAAUUGUACAAAUUGGAUAAUCGGAAAAUUUAAAAAUUUAAAAAUAGAAAACUUUCAAAGGGAUCAAGCAAAAAUGUAUAAUGUACAUAGUGGUGGUUUUACGUCAAAUAUGUUUAUGUUCAAUUUUCUUUUUUUUUAUGUGUUUCCUUUUUGCAUGUAUACAUCUUUUAGUUCAUGUAUACAAGCAUCUCAUAUCUUUGUUAAAUAAAUAGAGGAACAUGUUCAAUACGUAUGACCUGGAGCAAAAAGGAUACUGGGAAAAUCAAUAAUACAAAGCUAUCAAAAUAUAAGAUUUAACUCAAUAUUUUCUCCUUUGUAUUUUUAACUUAAAAACACUAAUAAAUCCACUCAAUCUAAUUUUAAAUCAAACCUUAAGCAAAUCAUUAUUAUUGAAUAACACAUGAUUUUAAAAUCUUUUUUUUAAAUCAUAAAACCAAUAACAAGAAUUUGAAUAUAUAUUUAAAAAUCUAAGAACCAAUACUAAUGAACUGAAUAUGGAUUUUGAAAUUAUAUAACCAAUAAUACUAUAUUUUAUUUGUAUUUUAAAAUCCAUCUAAAUAUACCAACCAAUAACACCCUCUGACAUUCUCUGUAACAUCCCCCGGCGCAGCCCAUCUGCAAAAUUCCAAAAAGAAGAGAUUCUAGGGUUUUCUUCUCUCACUCGCUAUAAAAAAAGGUGCCCUUUACACUAGAAACACAUAACAAAUACAAAGUGAAGCUCUGCACAAGCCAAGACCCACUGCCAUCACCUCCUCCCAUUACAAGAAAACAUGCGAGAGGAAAUUGUUUUGGCAGGACAAUCUCGUCGGAAAAGAAAAUCCUUGGAUAGUUUCUCGGUAACACCGACGGAUUCCAACCGACCGUUUCCAACGAAUAAAGCUGUGGGAAAUCAUGGUCGAGAACUUGUCGGGAUUUAAUACCAAAUUAAAACCUUGGUUUAAUGUCUUAUAGGUAUCCCCGAACUGAUGAUGGCUCUACAAUCAAAGCAAGUUCUUUACGCCAAGAACUUAUCGCAUACUUCAAAAUAGAAAGUAGAACCAAGUCGAAAUUGCAAGGGGUGGUUUAAGCCAAAUAGUCAUGGCAAACCUAAAAUUGAAAGUAAACCUAUGUCUUUUCUAAACCCAACACACUGAUCUCAAACAUCUCAAUAGCUAGUAUCAUCAACCCGGUAGCAAAAUACACUUAAAAAUGUUUCUUAGUCAGUAGUUAGUACGUACGCUUAGUAUAUGAGAGAAAUAAAUCUGUCUCAUAUCUCCAUAUUAUACAGUGAUUUGUACUCUGAUCCGCUAGGAAGAAUGAAAUGAGAGGACAACUCACACUCUUUUUCUCUCUUUUAACUGUCCCGCAGAAACCAUGAAGUAACAAUGAUCUUAUUAAAUCCUAAGCAUCCAUUUAUCACUUAGGUUUUAACUCGAUUAACUAAAUGCAACUGUACGUAGAGUUCACAAUAGUAAUGCGAGAGCAAAAAUUACACGUAGAGAGCAAGGAACACGAGGCUGUAAACUAUUGGAUAACAAUAUCAUGAAAUCUCGUAUGAGGAUGCCCUAAACCUUAUCCAAUGGAAUACGAAAUCUUAUCCAAAUUGAGUAUAGGAAGAAAUUUUUUUCCUAGAGUUGCAAAAUCUCAAAGGUGGCUGCCUAAGACUCUCAAGAACAAAGUGAAAACAGAAGAUGAUCUAAAAAAAACCUAAUACACGAGUUAUUUUGUAUAUGGGUCUAAAAACAGGUCAAAAAAAUACGUCAAUAAUUAGUGGACCCGAGUGACAUGGAUCAACCGAUCUCAGCCAUGGAUUGGACAUUCUUCAUUUUCUAAACGAGAUUGGUCGAUCACUAUGUUCUGAUCGGCCGAUUCUUGCCAUAUUUCGGCUCCACUUGUUCCAAUGCUUCCUUUUCGCUCCAAAUUGUUGCCUAGUUGCAUUCUUUCCCAAAGAUCGUUUUCUUGUAUUGGGUGUAGCUCCUCUUCAAACAUGUCUCGGAGAUCUGAUAGCCGCACCACAAUCUUCUCCCCUGAAGACCGUCUCUACCACGUCGAGUGCGCCAUGGAGGUCAUUGGUAACGCUGGUUCCGCCAUUGGUAUCUUAUUCAAGAAAAUGUACAAGAUUGAUGACCAUGUCGCCUGCGCCAUUUCUGGUAUCAUGUCUGAUGCAUCUAGAGAAGAGGCGGUAGUCAGCUUGCAUUGAAGGUUCUGAGAAAGACUAUGGACAGCACGAGCUCGACGUCCGAGAAGCUUGAGCUUGCUGAGGUGUUUUUGACUCCAUCAGGGAGUGUUAAGUACCAUGCUCACUCUCCUGACUCGCUCACCAAGCUGUUGCUGAAACAUGGUGUGACUCAACUUGCAGCUGAAUCAUCCUGAGCACAAAACCAGGGCCGAGAGUCUCAUGACUCUCAUCUCUGCUUGGUGUUUUCCUGCGUCUCAUUUACCUAUCUUGUUAGCUCUCUGUUACAAUGCUUUUCAGUUUUAGUUUGAUGUUAAUUAACAAUGGCGAUGAAACUGAAAUUUCAUUAGAAUUUUAUCCGAAGUUACUUUGAGUAACAAUUUUACUACAUAAUUAAAAUCUUGCAUUGUGUGGAAGGAAGAGUAGAUAUCCUUUGCAUCCCCAAGGGUUAGUCACACUUUUUACGGGUCAGUGGAAUCUGUUUGCACAAAACCCUGAUUCAAAUAGGCAUUUAUUUGAUACUUUUCAAAGACCAUGAACUACCAGUUUAACCCUUUUUGGGGAUUCCAUCCACAAAUACAAAUUUUAUGGCUAAUUGAUAUGGAACAUCUAUCACAACUGUUUUCUUCAUUGUGGUCAUUUGUUUCUGAACGAAAGAGCUGUUUUCAAAUAGUGUUCGAUCGAUUAUGUACUAUUAAUAUUAGAUUGAUUGGUCCGAGGUUAUUGAUAAAAAAUAUUUGUCUAAGUCACUUUGUUCUUUUUGUCCAAGUUUUUUCGGUUUUUUUGUCCAAGUUAUUUUUCUUUUUGCUUAAUUCACCAUUUUUUUCUUUGUGAGUUUCCAGAACGUCCUUAUUCGUAGGUCUACUCAUACGCAUAGAUAUUGAAAGCAUACAGUUAAUUUUUUUAUUCAUAUAUCUCUAUAAUAUUAUUUGAGAAGUCAGUUUCUUACGUCGUGUUCAUGUUAACUAUCAUAGUAGUUGGUUACGAUAAUACCCUUAAUGAAUAUAUCUAACUAUCAUUAUUAAAUAUUUAUUCUAUUUAUUCUUUUUUAUUUAGGUUUACUUUUUCUUUAUUUUAUAAAAUAACCAAAAUAAUAAAGAAAAUAUAUAAAUUUAUAAAUUUAGAAACAAAAAUAUCUUUUAUAUAUAUAGUGUUAUUCAUAAUAAGGAAAGUUCACAAAAUAAUCUGAUUUUAAAGUAAAGAAAUAAUCUUCCCUUUUAAAAGAUAACCUUAAACAACAUAAUAUAUAUUUUAAAAUUAUUAAGAAUUUUAUUUAAAUCAAUUUAUUUCUCAAAUUAUUACAAAAUAAUUUCUAUAAUAUUAUUUGAGAAGUCAAUUUCCUACGUGUCGCGUUCACGUUAACUCUCAUGGUAGUUGAUUACGAUGAUACUCUUAAUGAAUCAAAUAUAUCUAAUUAUCAUUAUUAAAUAUUUAUUCUAUUUAUUCUUUUUUUUUAUUUAGGUUUACUUUUGCUUUAUUUUAUAAAAUAACCAAUAUAAUAAAUAAAUUUAUAAAUUUAAAAACGAAAAUAUCUUUUAUAUAUAUAGUAUAAUUCAUAAUA